AGGUCCUUUUUGUCCCCCACUGGUCUUCUGAGCAGACUUGACGCAGUUUCAUCUCAUUCCUGAGGUAUCCUGAGCCCCUCAGUGCCAUACUUCUGCGUGAGUGCUGUGAACUGGAGCAAAUGGGUUGAAAAUGGCCAGAAGUUGCUCUUGGUCUCUUUAGAUCUUUUAUGACAAAGAAAAAAAUUGAAUUUCUGACCAGUUAAAAUCCAUUUGAGCCAGUUUAAGCUAAUUAUGCAGAACUGGAGCCUGAGGUCGGUAAAUCCAGGAAGAUGGCUGAAUACUAUGCUGACUCAAGUACAGACAAGGAGCCAGAUGAGAAAACCAAGGCUCCAAGAGCUUCUGUAACUUGUCCAAGACCAUGCAGUUAGUGCACAGUGAGGCACAGAAUCAGUUGUAGAAGCACUUCAGGGAAUUCGGAUACUAUUUUGUGGCCUGGCAAGAUCAGCAGCCUUACUAUCUUAGUCCCUGCCAGUCAUCAGCUUCUGGUUUCCCUGUUAUCCUGCUGCUCCCUAGAAUGCAGCUAUUAAGUGGCCUAAGAGCCAGCACCUUCACGGAGUAGCAAAGGAAUAACAUAUUGGUCCAGAAAAUAAAAAUAAUAGAAGAAAUGAAGAGGGACAACAAAAAUACCCAUAGUGGGAGACAUAGUGGAAGGAUUGUAUCAUACAAUGCAGCAGAUUCUGCCAAUGCUUGGAUUACAGGAGAUGCUCCACCCCCACAAGUACAAGUGUGGGUUUAACAGCUUCGAGUAGAAUAUAAACACUGGCUCACUACUGAACAUUAUGUUAUUGUUCAGGCAACCCAACUUUACAUUUUGAAGGUUUUGUGUUUCAUCUUGAACUCAGAAUGAAAGACCUGGACCUUCAUCUUCACAGUCCUUGAUGUUUCAUAGGGAAUCUCUCCAGUCAUGCUGCUAUACUCUUUGAACCAUACAUGAGGUUUGAUAUGUAGAACAAGCAUUUUGGAAUUAAGCAAAAAUAUUUGAGGCAGAAAUUUAGCUUCCAAAGACAAAGCUGUUUCUUGGGCUGUCUGACAUGCAAAAAAGUGAUGGAACAUUCUUUUAUAUCUUUAGGCAUUUUUUUUCUACUUGCCACACCUCUGUCCCUAAUUUGAACCUUCAAAUAUACCUUGCUUAUGUCAUAUUGACAGGGACUGCAAUCUUCUGCCUGCAGUUUCCCUAUACCUCUUUGCCAUGAGCUGUAGAUUUCUUUCCUUCUGAGCCUGUUCAAAACCAUGGAACAAUAUACUGUCAUUCCUUUUCUCCCUGAAAAUGAAAAGGUAGCACUGCCAGAUGAUGCCAAAAAGAUGGGAAUGUUAACUUUGGGAUGUGGGUAGAUUACUUACAGGAUCAGUAAGGAUAAGCAUGUUAAAGUAAAUACUCCAAGGCUUUUUACCAGAGGCUCAUCCCUUCUGAUGUGUCAUUAGAAGGAUGAGUCACGAGAAAUUACUGUAGCAUGAUUGAGUAUUACUGAAUUCCUAAUCAAAGUCCAGCUGGGAAGACCAGCUGAAGGGAACUGGCCCAUGCUAGCAUCCAAGAAAGCUGUGGAUUUGGCAGGGUGAAGAACUUCUUGGCUAUGGAGGAAUGAAUCAGGGUUAACAAAAUGUUAUGCAUGGUUUUACCAAAAGGCUAGCACUGUAUAUAUGGCAGGCCUGUUGUCUUCUAGUGCUCUCUGACUGGUAGGUAAGACAAAGCAAGAUCAACACCUGAAGCUUUUGAGAUGCAUGGCUAAGAUCUGUUGUGGUGUGUCUUGUAAAAUAUAGCCAAUGAAUUAGA
rnacentral:lncRNA from 1 species